GCUCGCACUUAGCGUCGUGCGCUGGAGCUGCGCGGGCUUUCGUGGCCCUCGGGUAGCAGUUCCACCGCCGCGUGGCCACAGUGACCCCUCCCCUGGGAGGAGCCCUGUUGCCCCCCCCCCCUGGGCGGUUGCGGAUGAAGCUGCUGUCAAUGGCCACGUGGAGGCUCACUUAGACCUUAGCUGUCACAGGCCCUUCCUGAUAGUCUUGAGCCUUUAGAAGCCGGCCAGAAGGUAAUGAGUAGCCACAGUGGCCAGCUGUGAGGAGCCUGGCCAUCGGCCCUGAGCUGGGUGACCGUGAGUGUCCAGGCCACCCUUUGAGCUUCAGCCCCCUCUUUUGUGGAACUGGUUCCUUCACUUUAGUGGGCAAGAGGAAGGGUGGCUGCUUGGUCCUGGGGGAGCACGGCCAGCAGCGUCCUCAUGGAGCUCCACAGCUAGCUGGUGGGUGACAAAAGGCCCCGUGACAGCCAAGCCCCUCCCCUCAGGCACUCUGAUUCCAGAGCUUGUGGCUUUCUGAGACCCCCCCAGCUCUCCCUUCCACUGGCUGCUCUUUGUGAGGAUUCUCCUGUCCAGGACCCCAGUGAGCAGCCAGCAACCUGGCACUUCACCACCCAGCCAAUGACGGUCACCUCACCACGGUGGAAAAAUCCCACUACACCAAGAAUGAACUUUCUUAAACUGAGGACCAAAGUGACGAUGGGCCACUGUGAGUUCAUUGGUUGUAACAAAAGCAUCCACAGAUAUGCUAUCCAUAGCAGGGAAGGCGGGGUGGCCAGGGACGCGGGGGGAAUCUCCACCUUCUGCUUGAUUUUGCUGUGGACCUAAAACUGCUGGAAGAAACAAACAAGAAGUCUAUAAAAAAUUCCUCCCCCCAGAUGUCCUGGUGACUAGCCAAAGGGGAGGGCAGGGCAUGGGGAAACACCUCUGCCCAGGUGGGGAAUCUUCCAGUGCUGCCCCUGUGCGGUCACCUUCCACUAGGAAGGCAAGAGGCGCUCUGCAGGGGCUUUGUGCCCCUGCAGAAAGCCAGCAAAGUAAAAACCCUCCGCUGAGGGGUGGAGAGAGGGUUAGGUGGCUGCUCUGACUUUCUCAGGGAACCAAACGUGACUUAGAACGCCUGGCGUGUGUGACGGCCUUCCCAGCCAUCCCACGUGGACCCCGGGAACACUGUGGCUGAGUUUUAAAACAUCCCCUUUGCAUGUGGGAACCAGUCAAUUUAGUCAAAGGAAACUCAUGACCAUCUUUAAAUACACAGCAGGAAGCCAGUGGAUUGCAACUCUGAGGGCCAGAACAGAACAGAGGUUGGAGCCUAUUUUUGAGAUGCAUUGUAACUGCUAGAAAGAGCAGUUACGGUGGAGUCCAGCCAGCAGCAAGGUGUCCUUCUGACGAAGGUGCUUCUGGGCUUUCAGCCAGGCCCAGGGCUGGCAUCUUCUCACCCAUCCACUGCUGGUCUCCUGUGCUGACAGUGGUAGCGCUGGGAAGCGAGGCCUUCUCCUGUCGGGCUCCCCAUGGGGACUGUCAUGCUGGGGAGGGCUUUGAAGCUGCAGAAAAUGCUUAGCAGAUACAACACUGUCGAAGAGUCAGGAAGAGGUGUUUGAGGGACAUUGUCUCCCAAUUGCCAGGUCAAUACAGGUUUCUCAGUUAAAUUCAAAUUUCAAAUAAACAAUGAACAUAGAUGCAGA
rnacentral:lncRNA from 1 species